rnacentral:tRNA from 1 species
GCCGCCUUAGCUCAGCCUGGCUAGAGUCCCGGCCUUGUAAUCCGGUGGUCGUCGGUUCGAAUCCGACAGGCGGCU